CCUAAUACAUGCAAGUCGGACGGUAUGGAUUCUUUCGGGGAUCCUGAGAGUGGCGCACGGGUGCGUAACGCGUAUGCAACCUACCUUAUACUGGGGGAUAGCCCGGGGAAACCCGGAUUAAUACCCCAUGGUAUUGAAUGAUGGCAUCAUUAUUCAAUUAAAGAUUUAUCGGUAUGAGAUGGGCAUGCGUAGGAUUAGCUAGUUGGCGGGGUAACGGCCCACCAAGGCGACGAUCCUUAGGGGUUCUGAGAGGAAGGUCCCCCACACUGGCACUGAGAUACGGGCCAGACUCCUACGGGAGGCAGCAGUAGGGAAUAUUGGGCAAUGGCCGGAAGGCUGACCCAGCCAUGCCGCGUGCAGGAAGAAGGCGUUAUGCGUUGUAAACUGCUUUUAUACGGGAAGAAAAAGCAACUGCGGUUGAAAUUGCCGGUACCGUAUGAAUAAGCACCGGCUAACUCCGUGCCAGCAGCCGCGGUAAUACGGAGGGUGCGAGCGUUGUCCGGAUUUAUUGGGUUUAAAGGGUGCGUAGGCGGCCUUAUAAGUCAGCGGUGAAAUACCCAGGCUCAACCUGGGGGGUGCCGUUGAUACUGUUUGGCUUGAGUGCGUUCCGUGUACAUGGAAUUUAUGGUGUAGCGGUGAAAUGCAUAGAUACCAUAAGGAACACCGAUAGCGAAGGCAUUGUACAGGGGCGUAACUGACGCUGAGGCACGAAAGCACGGGUAGCGAACAGGAUUAGAUACCCUGGUAGUCCGUGCCGUAAACGAUGAUCACUCGCUG
rnacentral:rRNA from 1 species